UUCAUCGUAGAUCAUCUCUCUGCGCUACCCCAUCUACAUAAUAAGCACCGCGCCAGUAUGUGGCUGACAACCACUCCGGCCCGAGUCCCUCAUUGCACCACCCCACAAUCUAUUCAUAUACAUAUGUUUGCACGGUUGCCUCUUCACUGGCAGUUUGGCUUUCGACCUUUGUAAUUGAUAUCUUUAGUUGCCACGGAUGCAUAACUGAGGUUAAAAGGCUGGGCAAUGUAUCAAGGGUUCGUUAUACAUAUAUACAUACAUAUAUAUAUAUAUAUGAAUGAGAUGCAUUUGGAAUAAUUGUCCGAGUCCCAAAGAAGAAGAGGUGUGCUUGGUUACACCUCCCUCCCCCAUAAAACGUAUAAAGAAGAACGUAUACCCAUCUUGUAUUAUACACUAUAGGCCGUUGUACGUAUACAAUACGAGGUGGG
rnacentral:lncRNA from 1 species